UGAAAACUUUUGCUGUUGAAAAACAUUGGAAAAUCUAGAGCAAAGUCCUUUGAAAUUUUUUUCAUGUUUAAUCUGAUAAAUGUCAGUAUUAUGAAGGACUGGACAUAUUUUAUUUUAUUAUUUUUUUUUUGUAGCAUGCUCCAGGAAAUGCACACUCUGGUGAGAAUGUUAUCAGUACAGUAUUUUGUAUUUAUUGAAAUGUUUCAGGGGCUGAUAGGGAUGAGUUAGCCUUUAAGAGCAUCUUCUGCUCCUUCCAAAGGACAUUGAGUUGGCCUUUAAGAGCAUUUGCUUUUUAGCACCACGUCACAGGGCUCACAACUGCAUGUGACUCUAGUUACAGGAGACACACUUGUACACAUAAAAAUAAAGCUUAAAUAUUUUUCUAGUCUUUUUUUUUCCAAAAAAAAAAAAACUUUUGUUGUAUAUCAUGUUUACCCAGAACUGUUAAUCUUCCAGCUUCCAGCUUUUGAAUGUUUAAAAUGAAAUGUCUCUGCUUCCACAUUCACCGUCAUUAGCUCCUGCUUGAGAGUCCAUCUCUUGGCUUGUUUUUAAAUUUUACUCUACAAAAGCAAGCAGUGAGCAGAGCAUUGAGCAAUGUGGAAUGGCGGCCUAAUUACAUGAACUGCAGACCAGUGAGACCUACAUAUGAAAAAUGCUCACAGGAAUAGAAAGUGCAUUUUAUUACAUUUGUGACACUUCUUAAAGCAAUCAUGUAUUAGUUUAAUAGGUGAUAUCUUUUUGUAUUUAAUAAGUAGAUGCUUCUCAUUGUAAAUUAUGUUAGAUUCAUUGGUAAAUUGAUAUUUGAAGUAUGCCAGUCCACAUAAAUGUCUUUAAAUGCAUUUUAGUAUUUAUGUGUGAGCAUGUGAGGGUAUGUAGACAUAUGCCCAUGGAGGCUAGAGUGCUUUGGAGAUAGUAUUACAGGAAUUGUGACAUGUUUGAUGUGUGUCAUGGGAUCAAAAUCCUAGUCUUCAUGAUAGAACAGUAAGUACUCUUAACUGCUGAGCCCCCUCAAACCCUGCAUAAGUGUAUUGUUUUUCAAUCAUGUUUAAUGGGUAGUUUAAAAAAUGGCUUUGUGAGUAUUGGGAUAGUCCUAUUGGUUUUAUUUGGCUAAUUAUAAGCAUUUUGUGUAUAUGCUUAUUUUUCACGAAAAAUGUGUGUGUGUGUGUGUGUGUGUGUGUGUGUGUGUGUGUGUGUGUGUGUGUACGUACGUAGACGAGUGUGUUUGGAGGGCAUUGUUUAUGUGUUGCUGGUAUGGUUGGUGGUGUUCACAAAGUGAGCAAAGUAAUAUAUUGGGUGUCUUGCUCUAUCUAUCACUGUUAUUCCCCCUAAGACAGAGUCUCACUGAGCCUGGAGCUGGGCAGCAGGAGCAUUUCUUGUGUCUGUCCCCCCAGUGCUGAGUAUAGAGACACUCUAGAAGUUGGCUCUGGUUCUUCCUCCCAGCAUCAUGUUCCCAGAAAUAAGACUCAGACUCAAAAUAUAUUUACAAAUGCCUUAGCCAUAUUGCUAAGCUCUUUUCUGGCUAGAUCAUAACUAAAGAUAACCCAUUUAUUUUAACCUCCAUUCUGCCAUGUGGGUGCUUACCUGUGCUGAGGUACCAAGCACCUGUCUAGUUACAUCUUCCUGGGCAAAUCUCCUACCUCUGGCUCUAUUCCAGAAUCCUUUCUGCCUCCUGGAUGUCCCUCCUUGCAUUUCCUGCCUAAGUCACGGCCCAUGAGCUUUUUGAUUGAUCGGUACAAUACAGAAGGUAUCUUCUCUAUAGAUAACUCAGUCAUUCCCAGCUUCUUAUUAAUAGGGAAUGAAACUUGAGUCCUUAUGACUGCACAGCAAGUGGCUCCCCACGUAGCCACCUCCUCAGGCCUAAACCAGUCUUAAAUUGAUUGUUUCUUUUAUGUUGCUCUCUCGUGUGUUCUCACAAUCCUGAGUAUCUGUUCUUUUUGACUUUGAAGUAUUUUCAAAAUAUUUUUUAGAAUAGCAAAUGUUAGGGUUGAUUUUGUUUUGGUUUUCCUAUUCAGAAGGUAGGAAUAAGUAUAUUGUAAUCAUGGGUCAGCCUGUCUUUCCAAGUUGACUUAUUUCUUUUGAGAAUUUCAUACACAUAUACAAGAAAAGAGAAUCAUGCAUAUCCACUGUUUCUCCUUCCAAGCCUUCCUAUUUCUCCCCAACACCCCCUCUUAACUUUGUCUUUAAAAAUAACCUGCUAGUCUAGUUAGUGUCGUUCAUACAUGCAUGAGUCUGGGGCCAUCUACUGGAGGAUGGGGGACCUACCAGUAGUUACAUCUUCACUAGUCAUUCUCCACCCCCCAGCAGCUAUUCACUACCUGUAGCUUCUCAGUAAGGGAGAUGCUGGGAUCUGGGCUGACUUAAUCUUACAAUGUAGGCCUUGUGCAUGCAGUCACAUUUGCUAUGAGUUCAUGAUUAUAGUAACCAUGUCAAAAGAAAAAAAAAAAAGAACCCAGCAUUUCACAGCACUUCUCCCUCCCUCUGGCUUCUGUAUUCUUGUUGCUUUUUCUUUGAUUGUCCCUGAGCCUUGCUGAUGGUGGAGACUAAUAUAGCUGUCUCAUUUAGAGGUACCCAUUCAGUCUCUAUAGCCCUUUGACCAGUUGUGCAUCACUCCAUUGACAGCUGUCCACUGGGAAAAGCAGCUUCUCUGACCAAAGUGGAGAGCAGUCAAGGUCUGUUGGUGUCAAGAGCUGAAUGGAUGGCAGGUACUCAGUGUUUAGAGUGUUUUUCUUUGUCUUUUUUCAGAUGGUGUCAUGUUACAUGGCCUUGGCUAGCCUGGAACUUUCUAUGUAGGCAAGACUGUUGUCAACUUGUGCUUAAUCUUUAUUUUUAAGUCACGAACUAUUAGUGUGUGUGUGUGUGUUUAUGUAAAUAUACUGUGUAAAUUUUGCUUUUCAUGUAUAUUUCAUUUUCAUUGUAAUUUCUCUAGCUAUUACACUAAGAGAUUUAUUGGUGUUACUGCCUUAGUAAAACCACGUGUUCAAUACAUUUACUAACUCGGUAUACGUGGUGAGUGAGUGGCUCAUCUAUAAAAGGAUUCUCCACAUUACUUCUGGCAGAGCUGGUGUUUGGAUUUAGGAGGUCUCAAAGGGAUUAGUUCUGUAGUUCGGUGUCCCCUGUGUUGGAUGCACUGAGGGGUAACUGAAGUUCUGCUCUUGUAACCAUAACAGUUGCUACCCAGGAGACUGAGUGCUGGAUUUAAGGGAGUGCGAUUCAUGAGGUAUGCUGUGUGAUUAGUCCACCAGUGAGUUGGAGGUACUUUCCUAUUUCAUGAAUCAAAAUGUUUCACAGUUUUUCAACUUAAGAAUGCCUUGUAGUCAUUCAGGAACAUUGUUCACUGGUUGGAGGCUUGGAACAUGUCCUUGAGUGGCAGAAGAUGUGUCUAGCUGUGUGAGGUGAACAACAGUGUUCUGGAUCAUUUUUGCAUUUCUUAGUUUCUUUUUAAACACUAAUAUUUACUAUAAGAUGAUGGAUGCAGUUGUCCGCAUAUAUAGGUGUGCCUAGAGUUUCCAUAACGUUACAUUAUGAUAAGUAAAGUGCGAGGUCAAGAAAAGCGCUUUACACUCAACCUAGUGGUCGGCACACCUUAGCCUAGUCUACAGCAACAGUUUUGGCCGCACUUACGUUUUCUUUAUGUUGGAAAAAGGGGCUUUUUCUUUGUACAUAAUUUUUUUAUUUC
rnacentral:lncRNA from 1 species